CAGUGACAAAACUUUGAAAAUGAAGGUGUGAUAACUUAGGUAAUUGGAUCAUUAAGAUGAACUGAUACAUUCUUGUACUUUUGCUUUGAUUAAGAGUUCACAAAUGACAUUUGCCAACAUCAUCAAUGUUGUGCAUGCUCUCAGAUAGACAAUCUAAGCUUGCACAGUCUUAAUUGUAGUAUUUUCUCCUGAUGUCUGUAACAAGAGAUGUGAUUCUCUACAAAACACUCACACAUAUUUUCCUUCUCUCAUUUUUCAAGUAUAACUGUUUGUUUAUUGUACCAAAAUCAGAUUGAUUAAUGUUUAAAUAAUGCUUCAUUUGCCAAUCACCUCCCAGAACAUUUAGCAAAUGAGCGAAUUCAACCGAGGCAGUAAACUGGAAAAGAAUGACUAAAAUAUACACUCAUUAUCAGUUGAUUUUGUCUAGAUUAAUAACCUUGAAGAUUCUAUAUGUUUGUUUUAUAUUGUUUCUGCUAAGAGGGACUUGCUUUGUAUAGCUCGUUCCACCACCUGCAGAAGUUGAACUUCAGGGGAAAUUUUUUUUAAAACUUCCAUAUGAUGAAAUCAUUUAACAACUAAAUUAAAUAAUUUUGCUGAACAGGAAUUUAUCUAUUUAGAGGGGAUGAGAGCUGUAUGUAUUGCUGCAUAAAUUCGAUAGACAAUAUUGCAUGUGCUAUGAAUCUGUUAUGGGUUACUUUGGCUUCAGCUCCAGUAGAAUGCAUGAGAAUUAUCAAAAAAGCAAAUAUAUGUUUUCAUAAUUUUCCCAUGGUUUCAUAGUAAUGCUGAUUUACUAAAAAUAUGUUUACACAUGAACUUGUCAUAUUCUCCUUUAAUCUUACAAGGAUGCAUUUUUAUGGCUUCAUUUUUUAAUUUAUUUAUUUUUACUAUUUGCAAUUUGUUGGUAAGAAAGCAAUAGAUUUGUUUCUAUUAAUUAAUGUGAUUUAUUUGUUAUAUAAAAUUACAUCAAUGGCAAAACU